CUAUCUUGUCCUUUAUUAUCCAUUUAAUCCUAUCCUUUUUUUGAAACCCUAACAGUCAUUAUUGUUGUGCUAAUCAGCUGCCUUUGCUUUCAGAUCCAUUUCCUGCCCUUCUUUUAUUCUACUCUGUAUUACAGCCAACCACAUUUCCAGGCUCCCUUGUCCUCUGCUAUCUAGGAGUAUGAUGGCCAAUGGAUCCAAAACCUAUCCUAUAUCUACAUGUUGGUGGCCACAUUAAUCUGACAUCUGACAGCAAGAGCGAUGAUUGGGUUCACUGGAAAUCUUUGUGAAGUACGAGUGAAGUCCUUGUGAAGUCAGAGUUUCCUCUUCAUGCCUCUACUCCUAUGCAGUUUGACCUCUCAGUGUGCAGCUGGUGAUAGAUGGAAACCCUUGUUCAUAAGCUUUGUGGCACUGUCGGCAGGAUGAGGGGACUUCUGGAUCCUCACUGGUCACUGUGGCAGAGUGGUUGGUGUUGUCUGCUCCCUAGACAGGAACCCACUGAAGAAUCUGACAUUUUUUGAUAUGCUGGCAUUCAUUGUUACAGCCCAUCAUCCCAGCCAUCAAUCCAGGACAUGGGGUCUGUGCCCACGGUGGGAAGGAGGAGGGGGAAGCUGGCUUUGUUCUGACGUUGGGCUUCUUCUGCUCCACCAGUACUUUCUGUGGGGGAAAUAGGUAAAGAAAUGGCUGUUCAGAUGAGAAGAUGUGUCAGUAAACUUUUGCUACAGUGAUGCUGCAAAACAAAUCACUGGUGACUUUCAGUGGCACACAGCAAUAAACAUUUAUUUAGCUCAGGGAUUGACAAUCUUUUUUUUUUUUUAAAGGGCCAAAUAGUAAAUAUUUUAGGUGUUUCAGGCCAUACAGUCUCUGAACUCUGAACUUG
rnacentral:lncRNA from 1 species